AUAGGGGAGCCGAAGGGAAACCGAGUCUUAACUGGGCGUUAAGUUGCAGGGUAUAGACCCGAAACCCGGUGAUCUAGCCAUGGGCAGGUUGAAGGUUGGGUAACACUAACUGGAGGACCGAACCGACUAAUGUUGAAAAAUUAGCGGAUGACUUGUGGCUGGGGGUGAAAGGCCAAUCAAACCGGGAGAUAGCUGGUUCUCCCCGAAAGCUAUUUAGGUAGCGCCUCGUGAACUCAUCUUCGGGGGUAGAGCACUGUUUCGGCUAGGGGGUCAUCCCGACUUACCAACCCGAUGCAAACUGCGAAUACCGAAGAAUGUUAUCACGGGAGACACACGGCGGGUGCUAACGUCCGUCGUGAAGAGGGAAACAACCCAGACCGCCAGCUAAGGUCCCAAAGUCACAGUUAAGUGGGAAACGAUGUGGGAAGGCCCAGACAGCCAGGAUGUUGGCUUAGAAGCAGCCAUCAUUUAAAGAAAGCGUAAUAGCUCACUGGUCGAGUCGGCCUGCGCGGAAGAUGUAACGGGGCUAAACUGUGCACCGAAGCUGCGGCAGCGACGCUUAUGCGUUGUUGGGUAGGGGAGCGUUCUGUAAGCCUGCGAAGGUGUCCUGUGAGGGAUGCUGGAGGUAUCAGAAGUGCGAAUGCUGACAUAAGUAACGAUAAUGCGGGUGAAAAGCCCGCUCGCCGGAAGACCAAGGGUUCCUGUCCAACGUUAAUCGGGGCAGGGUGAGUCGACCCCUAAGGCGAGGCCGAAAGGCGUAGUCGAUGGGAAACGGGUUAAUAUUCCCGUACUUGGUGUUACUGCGAAGGGGGGACGGAGAAGGCUAUGUUGGCCGGGCGACGGUUGUCCCGGUUUAAGCGUGUAGGCUGGUUUUCCAGGCAAAUCCGGAAAAUCAAG
rnacentral:rRNA from 1 species